GCUUAGGCUAUACAGGCCCUGUGCUGUAUCUGGAGGUGGUAAUGCUGUCCACUAAUGGUGACCAACCCUGGCCCUGGAGAGCUACUGUAGUGGGUUAUGGAUGGUUUUUUCCCGUAUUUUCUUCAGCCCAGCGCUAACACACCGGAUUCAACUCCUCAAGACCCUCUCCACCAUGAGAUAAUUAGCUAACUUGUUUGUUAGUGCUGGGCUGGAACAAAAAGGCUGCACAACCUGUUGCUCUCCAGGACAACAAUAUCGGUGACCACUGGCAUAGGCCUUGAAUCUGUCUGUCCAGCUCUGAUAGGACAGUAGGUCAUCUUUAGAGUCACCAGGCUUCCACUCGGCACUCUGUGGGGCUUGCCCAUUAUUUCUUCCCCCUAAUCCUAGAGAAGAAGUAAAUUACCUCAUUUGAUGAGUUAUGAUGAGGCCUCCUCAUUCAUUCAAAUCUCAAUGAGAUUAGCACACUCUGUAAUUGAUGAAUUUGAGGGAAUUUUCAAAGGAUUCGCGAGGAUUGCAACGGCUCCGGGGUUCUUUGUGUUUAACACAUUUAUUGAGUUCUAGAAAUUAGACAAUCCCGGGGAGAGCAAUGAAUAAUGUACGCUGGCAACAUUUUUUACUGAAGAGAAGUGACUUAUCGUGAUCAUUUCUGUUUCUUUAUAAUGGAAUUGAGAGGAACCAUGACUAUGCUGUGUCACCACUCAGGGAAGACACACUAGCCCUGGCAGAGUGUGUGUGUGUGUGUGUGUGUGUGUGUGUGUGUGUGUGUGUGUGUGUGUGUGUGUGUGUGUGUGUGUGUGUGUGUGUGUGUGUGUGUGUGUGUGUGUGUGUGCCCGCUUAGCCUAUGUGUUCUCUUAGCCUAUGUGUUCUGUUAGCCUAUGUGUUCUGUUAGCCUAUGUGUUCUCUUAGCCUAUGUGUUCUCUUAGCCUAUGUGUUCUGUUAGCCUAUGUGUUCUCUUAGCCUAUGUGUUCUUUUAGCCUAUGUGUUCUCUUAGCCUAUGUGUUCUUUUAGCCUAUGUGUUCUCUUAGCCUAUGUGUUCUUUUAGCCUAUGUGUUCUCUUAGCCUAUGUGUUCUUUUAGCCUAUGUGUUCUCUUAGCCUAUGUGUUCUGUUAGCCUAUGUCUUCUCUUAGCCUAUGUGUUCUGUUACCCUAUGUGUUCUGUUAGCCUAUGUGUUCUCUUAGCCUAUGUGUUCUCUUAGCCUAUGUGUUCUGUUACCCUAUGUGUUCUCUUAGCCUAUGUGUUCUCUUAGCCUAUGUGUUCUGUUAGCCUAUGUGUUCUAUUAGCCUAUGUGUUCUGUUACCCUAUGUGUUCUCUUAGCCUAUGUGUUCUCUUAGCCUAUGUGUUCUGUUAGCCUAUGUGUUCUAUUAGCCUAUGUGUUCUGUUAGCCUAUGUGUUCUGUUAGCCUAUGUGUUCUGUUAGCCUAUGUGUUCUGUUAGGCUAUGUGUUCUCUUAGCCUAUGUGUUCUGUUAGCCUAUGUGUUCUGUUAGGCUAUGUGUUCUGUUAGGCUAUGUGUUCUGUUAGGCUGUGUUCUGUUAGCCUAUGUGUUCUGUUAGCCUAUGUGUUCUGUUAGCCUAUGUGUUCUCUUAGCCUAUGUGUUCUGUUAGCCUAUGUGUGUGCGCUACCCUGUGAGUGUUUACAGGGCCCUAUACGUACAGUACCCGUCAAAAGUUUGGACACACCUACUCAUUCCAGGGUUUUCUUUAUUUUUACAGUAGAAUAAUAGUGAACACAUCAAAACUAUAAAAUAACACAUAUGGAAUCAUGUAGUAACAAAAAAGUGUUAAACAAAUCAAAAUAUAUUUUCUAUUUUCGAAACUUCAAAGUAGCCACCCUUUGCUUGAUGACAGCUUUAGACAUUCUUUCAACCAGCUUCAUGAGAUAGUCACCUGGCAUGCAUUUCAAUUAACAGGUGUGCCUUUUUAAAAGUGUGUGCCUUUUAAAACAUUUGUGGCAUUUAUUUCCUUAAUGCGUUUGAGCCAAUCAGUUGUGUUGUGACAAGGUGUUCUUAGUGUGGUGCCAGGAAAAUAACCUCUCACUCAACGUCAACAAAACAAAGGAGAUGAUCGUGGACUUCAGGAGGGAGCACCCCCCUAUCCACAUCGACGGGACCGCAGUGGAGAAGGUGAAAGAUUCAAUUUCCUCGUCAUACACAUCACUGACAAUCUGAAAUGGUCCACUCACACAGACAGUGUGUUGGAGAAGGCGCAACAGAGCCUCUUCAACCUCAGGAAGCUGAAGAAAUUUGGCUUGUCACCUUAAACCUUCACAAACUUUUACAGGUGCACAACUGAGAGCAUCCUGUCAGGUUGUAUAACCGCUUGGUACGGCAACUGCACCGCCUGCAACUGCAGGGCUUUCCAGAGGGUGGUGAGGUCUGCCCAACACAUCACCGGGGGCCUCCAGGACACCUAUGUCACAGCACCCGAUGUCACAGUGUUACGGAUACAGGUAUCCUGUGUGAGUAUCCUGUGUGUGUGUUUCUUUUCUCUCCUUCUCCCCUCACAGGUGACAAUCAUCAUUCCCCAAUCAGUCACCAACCAAGACACCUGCUCCUUUUCCCUCAACCAAUCACAUCCCCUUGGUUUAAAACCCAGUCAGUAGUUUUCUCAACAGUUCAAUCUCUCUCUCUGUAGCUUGAUCUCUCUGUGUCAUUCAAACUCUCGCUCUCUCUCUAUGGAUUGAUCUCCCUUUUGUUUUUGCAACUACAUGUCACUUUGUCCAUCAGCCUGUGAGUAUUGUUUUUGUUAAAGUGUUGACUGUUUGUUUGAUGGUGGGAAAAAGGGGUACCAAGACAAGUCACCCAUGGGCAUACAAUACCCGUAGGAAUACUUUAUCUAAGUACACUAGUUAGAACUGGGCGGACCACCAACUGUAUUUUAUUGGUUAGUUAGCUAGCUGUGCUUGAAGCAGGUAGUCUAGCUUAGGGGUGUUUUUGAAUACUUAUUAUUUCUUUCCUUGGGUCUAGCUCAGCCCCUUUUCCCUCCCCCCUUUACCAUGUGUUUAAGCAAUAAACCAAUAGAGUUUGACCGUAAAUUUAAGUGGUAUGCGUUUAUUAGUUCUCACUGUUUCUUUUCACUAUUAUGAUUUGCAUGAGUUAUGUUACGGGUCUCGUUUCCACCUCCCCUAGACUGCAGGACCAAAGGGAUUCGUAACACACAGGAAGGCAAAAAAGAUAAUCAAGGACAACAACCACCCAAGCCACUGCCUGUUCACCCUGCUAUCAUCCAGAAGGUGAGGUCAUCAAAGCUGGGACCGAGAGACUUAAAAAAAACGCUUCUAUCUUAAAUAGCCAUCACCAGCACAUAGAGGCUGCUGCCUAUAUACAUAGACUUGAAAUCAUUGGCCACUUUAAUAAAUGGAACACUAGUCACUUUAAUAAUGUCCACAUAUCUUGCACACACAUUAACAAUCUCAUAUGUAUAUACUCGAUUCUAUACUAUUCUACUAUAUCUUAUUCUAUGCCGCUCUGACAUUGCUCAUCCAUAUACUUUUAUAUUCUUAAUUCCAUUCCUUUACUAGAUGUGUGUUUUAGGUAUACAGUGGCUUGCAAAAGUAUUCACCCCCUUGGCAUUUUUCCUGUUUUGUUGCCUUACAACCUGGAGUUAAAAUAGAUUUUUGGGGGGGUUGUAUCAUUUGAUUUAC
rnacentral:lncRNA from 1 species